rfam:Salmo salar isolate Sally breed double haploid chromosome ssa12, whole genome shotgun sequence.
AGUCUGUAAUAGUGUAAGUCGCUCUGGAUAAGAGCGUCUGCUAAAUGACGUAUA